rnacentral:rRNA from 1 species
UGUUCGGAAAAGAUAACCGCUGAAAGCAUCUAAGCGGGAAACUUGCCUCAAGAUGAGAUCUCACUGGGAACUUGAUUCCCCUGAAGGGCCGUCGAAGACUACGACGUUGAUAGGCUGGGUGUGUAAGCGUUGUGAGGCGUUGAGCUAACCAGUACUAAUUGCCCGUGAGGCUUGACCAU